UACAGAUUAAGCAGCACAUGGCCCCGGCUAGGAAGACGAACCAAGGCCAUCCGGGGAUGUUCUCAUGGUUGGAUUCGAAGGCAUCGAGGAUCAACGAAUGUUGUAUCUGUCCUAAAUGCGAAUCCUGCAGACAAAACCAGAGUAUGUUUGUUCAGUCAGUCCAUCCAGUAAAUGAUUUCAUAAUCAUUAAGGAAUUAGAUUUCUUCUUUAAGUCAGAUUUCAACAGAGAUGUGUACAACCUAUGCUGCUUUCACUUGAGCUCGCGUUAAUAUCGAUUGAAUGCUUUAUGGUAGUACAGAACAACACUUAUGUAAGCCAUCAUUACUAUUUGAUACAUAAUUCCGAUUCGGUAAAUGUUGCAAAUUCCUAAUUGGCAUAUUUCUCCAUGCGCAAUAGCAGUGACAAAGCAAAGCAAAGCAAAGCAAAGCAAAGCAAAGCCCCCUGGUUCAUGAAAGUCUCCUGGAGGCGAAACUGGAGAAACAAUCUGCAGCUAAUUCUGAGGCAGUGCUAACAACACAAAAUUACGA
rnacentral:lncRNA from 1 species